rnacentral:rRNA from 1 species
CCUACGGGAGGCUGCAGUGGGGAAUAUUGGGCAAUGGAGGAAACUCUGACCCAGCAACGCCGCGUGAAUGAUGACGGUCCUCGGAUUGUAAAGCUCUUUUCUAAGGGAAGAAGAAAGUGACGGUACCUUAGGAAUAAGCCUCGGCUAACUACGUGCCAGCAGCCGCGGUAAUACGUAGGAGGCGAGCGUUAACCGGAAUGACUGGGCGUAAAGGGUGCGUAGGUGGUUUGGCAAGUUAGUAGCGUAACUCCAAGGCUCAACCUUGGUACUACUACUAAAACUGUUGGACUUGAGUGCAGGAGGGGCAUGCGGAAUGCCUGGUGUAGCGGUGGAAUGCGUAGAUAUUAGGAAGAACACCGGUGGCGAAGGCGGGUUGCUAGACUGUAACUGACACUGAAGCACGAAAGCGUGGGGAGCGAACAGGAUUAGAUACCCCAGUAGUC